GUUUUUGUGGUUAAAUAAUAACGGCGGUUUUUCAGGCCGCAGGUCCAGGUUAGAUUCUUGGCAGAAAUA
rnacentral:tRNA from 2 species